GAGAUGCAGGCUACCUCUCUCAGCUGAACUUGCAUUCUGGGGACUUGAACUUGAGUCCUCAAACUUGUACAGCAAGCAUUUUUCCCACUGAGCCUUCUGCUUAGCCCAGACUUUGAACAGAGUGAUGGAAUUGCAGGCACAUACUAGCAGGCCAGAUUUGUGUGGUGCUGGAAACGGAACCCACGGCUUUGUUCAUGGUAGGCAGAUCCACUCUACCAUGUGUACUGGCUAGCAUCUGAGCCACACCCCAGCUCCUUGCAUUUUGGUUUUUGCAUUUUCUAUUUGUUUGUUUUGUAUACAGUUCAUAUCCUAGCUUUCCAAACUUUCUGUAGUGAGAUAAGCGUGUUCUGAAGAUCCUAAACAGAGAAACGAGGAGUUAUGCCAUUGAAAUUUGGGACCUGAAGGGACAUUGCAAUAGAGUCUCCAGGAAUACACAUGG
rnacentral:lncRNA from 1 species